rnacentral:rRNA from 1 species
UACGUAGGGUCCGAGCGUUGUCCGGAAUUACUGGGCGUAAAGAGCUCGUAGGUGGUUUGUCGCGUUGUUCGUGAAAACUCACAGCUCAACUGUGGGCGUGCGGGCGAUACGGGCAGACUAGAGUACUGCAGGGGAGACUGGAAUUCCUGGUGUAGCGGUGGAAUGCGCAGAUAUCAGGAGGAACACCGGUGGCGAAGGCGGGUCUCUGGGCAGUAACUGACGCUGAGGAGCGAAAGCGUGGGGAGCCAACAGG